GGAUUAGAUACCCUGGUAGUCCACGCCGUAAACGAUGAUGACUAGCUGUCGGGGCUCAUGGAGUUUCGGUGGCGCAGCUAACGCGUUAAGUCAUCCGCCUGGGGAGUACGGCCGCAAGGUUAAAACUCAAAGAAAUUGACGGGGGCCUGCACAAGCGGUGGAGCAUGUGGUUUAAUUCGAAGCAACGCGCAGAACCUUACCAGCGUUUGACAUGGUAGGACGGUUUCCAGAGAUGGAUUCCUUCCCUUACGGGACCUACACACAGGUGCUGCAUGGCUGUCGUCAGCUCGUGCCG
rnacentral:rRNA from 1 species